rnacentral:rRNA from 1 species
UGGGGAAUAUUGGACAAUGGACGAAAGCCUGAUCCAGCCAUGCCGCGUGUGUGAAGAAGGUCUUCGGAUUGUAAAGCACUUUAAGUUGGGAGGAAGGGCAGUAAGUUAAUACCUUGCUGUUUUGACGUUACCGACAGAAUAAGCACCGGCUAACGCUGUGCCAGCAGCCGCGGUAAUACAGAGGGUGCAAGCGUUAAUCGGAAUUACUGGGCGUAAAGCGCGCGUAGGUGGUUUGUUAAGUUGGAUGUGAAAGCCCCGGGCUCAACCUGGGAACUGCAUCCAAAACUGGCAAGCUAGAGUACGGUAGAGGGUGGUGGAAUUUCCUGUGUAGCGGUGAAAUGCGUAGAUAUAGGAAGGAACACCAGUGGCGAAGGCGACCACCUGGACUGAUACUGACACUGAGGUGCGAAAGCGUGGGGAGCAAACAGGAUUAGAUACCCAAGUAGUCCCUGAGCGGGCUGGCAAGGCGCAU